rnacentral:rRNA from 1 species
AUGCAGGUAGUCAGUCAGACGAGUAGUAGCACCCACAUUUUGUCUAAAUAUGUGCCGGAGGUUAACCAAGAAAGAGACUGGAUCGGUGGCGUUCUCCCCUGUAAAAAGGCCAUGUAUUUUCUUUCUCUUCCUCCCCCUCUUAUCUCUAACCUAGUAGGAGGUUUCGAUGGAUCUCUCUUCUUUUCUGCGACCGUUCUUGGACUGGAACGAUGUGAAUUGGCUGAUCUUGUAAGGAUGUCGGUAGCAAUGUCUCUCUCCUCUGUGUGUCUGCUCACGCUGGCUGUAGAACUAAUUCAGUUACCUGAGUCAGUGGGGGAGAACCUGGUGUGA